rnacentral:tRNA from 1 species
GGAGGGGUCGCAUAGCGGUCUAGUGCGGUUGCUUGGAGAGCAACUAUACCAGAAAUGGUAUCGUGGGUUCGAAUCCCACCCCCUCCG